CCCAGACAGCCAGGAUGUUGGCUUAGAAGCAGCCAUCAUUUAAAGAAAGCGUAAUAGCUCACUGGUCGAGUCGGCCUGCGCGGAAGAUGUAACGGGGCUAAACCAUGCACCGAAGCUGCGGCAGCGACACUGUGUGUUGUUGGGUAGGGGAGCGUUCUGUAAGCCUGCGAAGGUGGCCUGUGAGGGUUGCUGGAGGUAUCAGAAGUGCGAAUGCUGACAUAAGUAACGAUAAAGCGGGUGAAAAGCCCGCUCGCCGGAAGACCAA
rnacentral:rRNA from 4 species